rnacentral:rRNA from 1 species
GAUGAACGCUGGCGGCGUGCCUAACACAUGCAAGUCGAACGGAGAUUACGGACGGAAAGUUUUCGGAUGGAAGCCUGUAAUUCUUAGUGGCGGACGGGUGAGUAACGCGUGGGCAACCUGCCCUAUACAGGGGGAUAGCAGCUGGAAACGGCUGGUAAGACCGCAUAAGUCGGUUAAAUCGCAUGAUUUGAUCGGGAAAUGAGCAAUCAGGUAUAGGAUGGGCCCGCGUCCGAUUAGCCAGUUGGCAGGGUAAAAGCCUACCAAAGCGACGAUCGGUAGCCGGACUGAGAGGUCGGACGGCCACAUUGGGACUGAGACACGGCCCAAACUCCUACGGGAGGCAGCAGUGGGGGAUAUUGCACAAUGGAGGAAACUCUGAUGCAGCGACGCCGCGUGAGUGAAGAAGUAUUUCGGUAUGUAAAGCUCUAUCAGCAGGGAAGAUGAUGACGGUACCUGACUAAGAAGCCCCGGCUAACUACGUGCCAGCAGCCGCGGUAAUACGUAGGGGGCAAGCGUUAUCCGGAUUUACUGGGUGUAAAGGGAGCGCAGGCGGUUUUGCAAGUUGAGAGUGGAAGCAGGGGGCUCAACCCCCUGACUGCUCCCAAAACUGUAAAACUUGAGUAUGGGAGAGGCAGGCGGAAUUCCUAGUGUAGCGGUGAAAUGCUUAGAUAUUAGGAAGAACACCGGUGGCGAAGGCGGCCUGCUGGACCAAAACUGACGCUGAGGCUCGAAAGCGUGGGUAGCAAACAGG